rnacentral:rRNA from 1 species
CAGGUGGUGCAUGGUUGUCGUCAGCUCGUGUCGUGAGAUGUUGGGUUAAGUCCCGCAACGAGCGCAACCCUCGACCCUAGUUGCCAUCAUUCAGUUGGGCACUCUAGCGAGACUGCCGGUAAUAAACCGGAGGAAGGUGGGGAUGACGUCAAAUCAUCAUGCCCCUUAUGACCUGGGCUACACACGUGCUACAAUGGUUGGUACAACGAGUUGCGAGUCGGUGACGGCGAGCUAAUCUCUUAAAGCCAAUCUCAGUUCGGAUUGUAGGCUGCAACUCGCCUACAUGAAGUCGGAAUCGCUAGUAAUCGCGGAUCAGCACGCCGCGGUGAAUACGUUCCCGGGCCUU